GAACUGCCUGGAAGGCCACGUAGAUGAAGAUGGGCUCCUUGGGGCUGUGUGAUGCCAGGAUCUUGCUGACACGCUGGGCAUAGAGGAAGGGCCAGGAAGACUCUUUCCUUUAGAGGAACUCCAGCACGGAAUCAGAGAAUAACUCAAGUUGGAAGGGAUCCAUCAGGAGUCCAACUCCAGCAGUGAUGAAAUAUCUACCAAUACAUUGGGAUACCUGCCUUGCA